GUACUCACCCUACUAUCACCAUGGCAUUGAUAGGAACUGCCACACUUCUUUUUUUUCUUGGUUUGAUGAUCAGCUCAUCAUACUUCGUUUCAGCAGAUGGUAAGCAAACUAUUCAAAACACAAACUCUAAAUAUUUCCAGUUAGACUUUAACAUUGCAAAAGCUUGUCGUUAGCAUUAGUUAUACAUCUGAGAUGCAGUUAAUUUUUUUUUAAUCUUAUUUUUACACAUUUUCACCACACUGUAUAUGCAUUGAUAAAAUAUGAUCUAAGAUCUAAAUUAAGCAUAUUUCUAUGAAUAUAUCAGAAAAUAAUUAAAGGUUUUUGAAAUUAAUGUUAAAUUGUGUUAAUACAUUUAUUUCUGUUAAUUGAGCUAAAUGUAUAAACAGACAUAUACCUGAACUCCUUAACUAUGGAAUGACCCAAAACAGUAACUUUUUUCCAAGAAAAUGUGCAUAGGUCUUAUUUACCUUUCUCUACUUAUAUAAAGCCCUUCCAUUACCCUGCGUGUGGCCGGUUAAUAUAUGGGAAAUAUGCAAUGUCAAACCAUCUGCAGUUGGAUGGGAGUGCAAUUAAUACUGGGGGUCUUCACAUAUUAAAAGGCAGAUCGAUUCCCACCUCCAUUGUAAUAGGUUUCAAUUUGUGCACCUCAAGCUAAGGGUAAAGGGUUCAAAGUGUAUUGUUUGCCAUUUCCCUCUGUGUUAAAACAUGUUUUUUUUUUUUUUAACUCUGCUAAAGAUUUAAAGGGUUACUCCAAGCACCACAACCACUUCAGUCAGUGACAAAACUAAUGUAGAGAGGACACUGAUGCAAAAUGUGGGGUUCCCCCUUCUAGAAUACACAUAACACUGCCACACACAUAGAAUAUAUACUGACAGAAAUGCACAUACACAAUGACACACAGCUACACACAUAUAGUGACACAGCUUUAUAUGCACAAUGACACACAGUCAGAUGCACAAACAUAUUAACACAGAUUUACAUGCACAGUGAUACACACAUACUGACAGAUACACACACAUGCGCACAGAUACACACAUAUACUGACACACAACGCCAGCCCAAGACAAUGUGCUGCCUGGACCCUAGGAUGAAAUGCUGCCCCCCCCCACACACCACAACAAUGCUCACCAAAACAUGCCCAAAUCCAUUAAUUUAUGCAGUGUGUGUAGUAAAUGCAGUGUCUGUGUUUGUGUAGUGGAUGCAGUGUGUGCAGUGUAUGCAGUGUGUGUAGUGAAUGCAUUGUGUGUGUAGUGGAUGCAGUGUGUGUAGUGGAAGCAGUGUCUGUGUUUCAGUAGAGGAUGCAGUGUGUGUUUCUGUAGUGGAUGCAGUGUGUGUUUUAUGUAGUAAAUGCAGUGUCUGUGUGGUAGAUGCAGUGUUUGUGUUUGCGUAGUGGAUGCUCUGUAUGUGUGUUUGUGGUGUGCUGUGGGGGGGAGGAGUUUUUUUUAUUAUAUAUAUAUAUUUUUAUUAUAUAAUUUAUUCCCCCCUCCCUACCUCUUACCUGUGGGCAGGGAGGGGGGACACGAGAUUCCCUGGUGAUCUGGUGGCACAACAAGCUGUUCUAUAAAAAAGGGACCCAAAGAUCUAAUUUUCCAUCUCCAACAGGAUCAGCUCGUCUUCUCUUGUGAGCUGCAAGAGCAUUGCUAAAGGUUGCCAUGCAAUGCUCCAGCAUUCACUGCAUGCUAUGCUGACACACACAGAUACAUGCACACUGACACACACAGAGAGAACACCACCCAUGCUGACACAGAUACACAUACAAAUUGACGCACACAGAUAUACAUACUGACACAGAUAUACACUGACACACCCAGAUACACCCAAUACUGGCACAGAUAAACAUAUACAAACAGACAAAGACUCUGCCUCCUUACAUUAGAUCAUGCCCCUAGCGCUGCCCCCUGGUAAUCAGCACAAGGAGGCAGAGCUGGAAGAUAAAAGUUGUUGUUUUCAAAUAGCUUGUCAGCUUAUAGCUUUUGCCUUCUAUCUCUGCCUCUUGGCUAUGAUUAUGUAGGGUGGAGCCAAACAAGAAGAGGGGGGCUAACACGAGGAGGCAAAGCCUACCACUGCACAAUAUGCUGAUCUGCCUCUAUCUACAGAGCGCCUGGAUGCUUUGCACCCACUCUUAAUGCAGGAGGCUGACUUCGCUGUGAUCAAGUAGGACUGCUGGCUGAGGAUGGUGGCUAAUGCAGCAUGCCUCCCGACUAUAGUCAAAAGAUUACUAUAUUUAGCCAAAAUGGUUUAAAAAUUUGUCCAUGUGUCCAUUUUUUAGUUACUUAUUACCUUUGUAUGUUUCAUUGAGUGAUAAAAUAUUUGUCCAUUUGAAUUUCACUUUCAACAACACGAUCUAAAAAUGCAACCCUCCAUUCUAUGUAUAGAUUCCAUAAAGAUUUACAGAAUGUCAUUGACCCACCAUUGAUAUACAGAUAAUGAAAAAAAGGAUGCUCACUUAAACUUGGGUUCUCAUCAUCGCAGUGUUUCAUAGAAAAAUGCAGAUAAACACUUAAUACCGACACUUCAGGACUUUAGUUUAAAACUUAGCUUAUAUCCCAGCAAGUAAAAUGUUUCCAAUGUUUCAUAUAACUAUGUAACUUUUUCUUGAGACCUGGUAUUUAAAUGUUGUGCAGUAAAAACACAAUAUCAUAGUGCUAUGGUACUGGCAACCAAGGUUGCCAUCAUAAAUUUUGGAUCCCCUAACACAAGUCUGCCCUCAGGGCCCACCCCUUAAUCUGCCACAGUGAUCCCCCCCGAGUCUUCCCAACAGGUGGAGUGUGUGUAGAGUGAAUGCAGAGUGUGUGUGUUUAGCAAAUGCAGUGUGUUUGUAUAGUAGAUGUAGUGGAUGUGUUUGUGUAGAGGAUGCAUUGUGUGUAAGGUGGAUGUGGUGUGUGUUUAGUGGAUGGAGUACGUGUUUGCAGUGGAUGCAGAAUGUGUCUGUGUAGCGGAUGCAGCGUGUGUAUUGGUUGCAGUGUGCAUUUGCGUAAUGGGUGCAGAGUGUGUGAAUAUAUAUGUGGGGUAAAACAGAGGCUGCAUUCUGUAGGAAAAAGUUGUUGUUUUUUAUUUAAUUUUUUUUUAUAAUUAAUUGUAUCUCUCCUUCCAUACCUUUUAUAUGUUCCCAUUACACUCCCUGGUGGUCCUAUGACACUGUACAGGCUGGUACCCAGCCACCAUGAUCCUCAGCUUCUGGCAGCUACUCUUUCCAACUCUUGUGAAACUGGUCUGCUUCUCAUUGCCAUGGUAACACACAGCAACCUUCUGAUGGCCGCGUUGGAGAGAGCUUCUGAAGCUGAUGGUUGCAUGUGCUGGAGCCCCUCUUCACUAUAUUGGCUGCUAAAGGCCUCCAAGAGCAGUGGUGGAACAAAUAUAGACAUAGAGAGGGCCCUGGUGCAAGAUUUGUUUGCCUAUUCUUGUAGGUUUGUAUUUGGCACUGAGCAGUCUAUGGAGUAAGUGUGUGUGUGUGUGUGUGUGUGUGUGAAUGUUUGCGCUUGAAUGCAUACACUGCCACACACUGAUGCACAUGCACACUGUCACACACUGUCAUACAUGCAAGUACACAGACACACAGGUACGCACACUGACAUAUACAUACACUGAAACACAGAUACACACUGUUACAUACAAACACAGAAACACAGAUACACACACUGACACAUACACAAUGACACACAGAUACACAUACUGACACACAGGUGCACACUGAUACAUACACACAGCUUUUUGUAAGAAGGUGUAUAAAGUUGUAAUUGUACAAAUCCCAAAGAUCCGGGUUGAACCAGACUCCCAGGUAUCACAUAUGCGAAUUGCACCAGUGAAAGGGCAAGCAGUGUGUAAGCGUUCACCGCAGUGCCAGGCCAAUAGAGAUGCCCAGGAUUUCAGAUUUAGCAUUGUUAAUCUGGUUGGAGAUGUGUCCAUACAUUUUGAAUUCUGACAUAAGGGAGGAAGUUGGGUCUGUAACAAUAAACAGCAGGUCAUCAGCGUAUGCGAGGACUUUGUGGUGAACCUGUCCCACACGUAAAUGCUGGAUGUCAUUUUUGCUUCUAAUUCUGUUCAGGAAACCCUCUAGCAUCAGGGCAAAUAAGAGGUUACAGCAGUUGGCUCUACCAUGUCCUGUUGUAUAUACAAAAUGGGACUGACAGUGCCUCAUUUAUCUGCAGCCUUGCCGUCUGGCUAGAAUAGAGGGCUGAAAUCCAAGAGAGGAAUUUGGAUCGUAAGCCAAUCCCUAGAAGCACUACUAGCAGGAGUCCCCAGUCCAUCCUGUUAAACACUUUUUUUCACCUCCAUGGACAGGAGUCGGACAGGGUGCCCUGUUCGCCUUCCUCCAGAGAUCAGAUUUAUGGCUCAGAUAGUGUUUUCUCUGACCUGCUGUCCGGUAUAAAUCCAUUUUGAUCCGGUUUCACAAGCCACAAUUCACCAAUCACUAAAGGCCACAAGCCACAAUUCACCAAUCACUAAAGACUUAUUAAUGAAGUGGCUCCAGAUCUGCAAUGUCUCUAUCCAGUUCUAAUGCGGUUUGUGCUGCUUCUAUAGUGAAAUUGUGAGAAGAACAGAAUUGUGUACUAAGACCAUCCUUAAAUUGAUGAGUCCAUAAUGCUACAAGGAAUGUGGUAUUCUCCAGAGAACCUCCUCCAGCACUUGAAGGCAAGUAUACCACAAAGUGUUACUAUACAAUAACUAGUGGCGGUAGUCAUGAAGAGAGGAGGUGGAAGUCAGUACUCCAAAACAACCCGUCACCAGGGUCUCUUAUCCCAGGACAAAAGAGUUUCCCAGAAUAAUCAGACAUUUGGGUAGGUAGAGUGAUUUACAUCAAUGCAAAAGGUCAAAGUAUGCAUAAGGAUUUACAAAUUGAUUUAUCUUUCUUCCCGUUUCCCUUUUCCCUUUUCUCUUUUCUUUUUUUUUUCUUUUUUUCCUAACAGCUCAUUAGGCUUCCCAACUUUCCUCUGAUUGCUUCCACCUGUAAAUCCAGCAAUGCUCACAAUAAUUUGGAUAUUUAUCGAGGUGUAAAGGCUGAGUUCCUACACAGGCAUUGGUUUCAGAGCACAAAUCAUAAACUAGUAGUGAUAGCUAUACUCCUGAGGGUUAUCCUCAAAGCUAAUAUGUCCCCCACUCUGGAUUCAACUAUGUUAUUAUUUUCUUUUUUUGAUUUACCCUCGUUAUUUUCCCUCUUUUUUUUCUUUUUCUUUUCAUUUCCCCCAUGUUUACACCUUCCCAUCCCCAACCUCCCUCCCCCAUUUCUUCCCUCAUUUUCCUUACAAUACGGUCAUCAACACUCUUCCAAAUAUAUGCAGAAACGGUUAUACAUUUGAAACUUCUCAAACCCCCAUACACACACCCCCACCAAGUGUGGCAACCAUUUCCCUUCAACUGACACAUCCUAGUUAUUCAGUACCAGCAAUGGUCCAUAUAGAACCCGAUGAUGGGAUGAUGGGAAGAGUCUCUACCUAUCUUUCGCCCUCCAAGGACAAAAUAAAAAAAUAAAUUAUUGGGGGAUGGGGCCUGACAGCCAAGAUGGCCGGUCGCACACUCUAAGAGCUCCUGCAAUAACAGGCACAAUCCUGACAAUAUCAACAGAACUGCUUACACUGGCGGCACAUGGUGUCUGGGGACCGACUCAAACCAACAAGAGACACAGAAUGGUACCUGCCCGGCACCGAUACGCUGCGAAAAACCCCACGCCGGCCAUGCAGCCUAAACCAGAGCGGGGCCCGAGGUCCGGGGGGAGACGGCCGAUCCCCUGGCGCAGGCCACGCUAAAAAGCAUGAACACACUACGGUCCUGCUUUCCCCCACUCUGGACCGGCGGGGGAUAUCCCGGUCCUCACUGGGGACAACUACCCCUGCAGCAACACCUGGCCAAGCGACAAAGCCAACAGCCAAACGGGACUGUCAAGGCCCAACCAAGAUGACGGCACAGAUGCAGCCCACGAAAAAGGGAACUCACCAAGCCUCCCAAGCACACAUGGGAGUUCUAUGACCGGCUCUGUGCCAGCCUCUGGACCCAGCACAAGGCACGCAGACAGCCCUUCAAGCUGGCGAUGAAAGAGGUGGCGGUUUGGAUCCGCCCAGCAACCCGGCGCAACCUAGGUGGGAAUCCCCCUCGUGGCUCCGGAGCGGCUCCCCGACAGGAACGAAGCAGAAAAUCAACAGGGCAGGAAAUGGCGCCAAGAUCAUUGGAUGUAAGCACUCACAUCCCCACGCUACAGAGUGGGACCCACCAGCAUGUCUGACCCGCGUGCCUCUCAACUGCCCCAGCAAUCUCUAUCAAGCAAUGCGCAACCCUGCACACAAGAAUCCAUGAUGCCGGUCGCGAAGCUGACCGGGAUGCAGAGAGGAAGGUAACCGGCGGGCGCAACAAGUGGAGGGCCUCUCCACGGCCCACAAGAGGGGGAACCCUGACCCAAGGGACCUACACACAAUGCCAGCGGCUCAGCAGAGCAGGCAUCGGCUGACUACGGAUAACCCUCUGGACUGAGGCCUAGCCACCUCUCCCAAGCACUGGAGAAGGCUUCUGCGUAACAGCAUGGACUCUCAGUGUAUUGUUUGAUAUUUUCCUACUGACUCUUCUCUUUUUAUGACCUAGUUUAUAUUUCUAACAAGAUGUGUGUUUGGAACGAAAUCUUCAGCAAAAUUUAAAUGCACACUGCGCCCCCUGACAAAACAUAUAAUUGAAUACUCUUUCUGUUGUUGCAAUACACCAUAUAGGCAUAUAUCCUUACGACUAAAUGUGCUGAUUAAACUGCCUCACUCUGAAAUGCCUUAAAAAAAUAAUUUUAAAAAUUAUUACAGCGUGUGGUGUUUGCAGUCACCCUUGUGUCUCAUUCCUGCUGCCACUAUUGUUGAGGUCGUCAACUCAGGUAGUGAGGUGGGUCAGGUCUAGCCAAUGUAGCAUUUAUUUUGUAGAUGACCACCUGCAUUAGAGCUAUUUCUUCCUUCACCACUCGGGUCAGAGCACCUCGCCGGGGUAGAAGGUGAGCCCAGGCUAGGACUGAAAGUUUCUGUCUCGUGGUGUGAGGCCAGGUCCUGAGGGAUACUGAGGUAAGAGCUGAUGGACAAUUCUGGACAGGGAAAUUGUGGUUUAUGGGUACAGGGAGGGUCCCUGGUAAUCUUAGUGUCUCCCAUAGUUGUCAAGAGUUGCAAGGAUGAGGAACUGGAGCCUUAAACAGGCAUCUUCCUUGUCAUCUAGACAUGCCCCUAAAAUCUUAUAAGGCAAACUCAGUUCAGUAUACAAGCAUGGCAGGUCCUUAACAUUGGGCUAUUUGUAAUUUCGUAUUGCAUAAAAAGUUUUGUUUUGCCUUUACCAAAUUUCACUGUUAUAUUUACAUGUAUAUAGCGAAAUGAUCCACAGAUUAAGAAAAAAAAAAUAUAUAAAUGAUGGAGCUUAAUAAAUCUUAAAUACCUAAAAGGAAAAUAUUGCAUGCUUCCCAACCUCCUCACUUAAGCAUUGAUAGAAAAAUAUAUGCUUUAAAUCAUGUAUUUACAGUUUUGCAUUCUAUAAAAUGUUUUUGUUGCCAUUUUUACCAUCACAAGUCUUCCUUUUUCAAACCUUCUUCAUUGAUUUAAAUGGGGCAUGUGGCCUGGAGUCUGCAUUUGCAGUCUUUUGCACAGACUGAAGUGUCAGAGCAAGACAGGAAUUUAAUAUUGCAUUCCUGUAUUUAAAUAGUAGUCAUAUUAUUCUGAUUGGUUGGAUAGAAAUCUAAACAGAGCGCCUUUUGUGAGGAAUGUCUCACCUCACAUGAAAUUUGCUUGGUAAUGCAUUACAGUGCUACUAUCAUGAGAGGUGAAGCUUCCAAACCAACCAAUCAGAUUUGUGCAACUGAAAUUCAAAGUGUGGAAGUCCAUUAUAUCAACCUUUCUAGUUUGAAACUUCAGUAUGGGUGGUGCCCACAAUGGUUGAAGAUGGAACAUUUUUUUGUUGCAAGAUUUUACAUUUUUUUAUCAAAUAUUUUAACAUUUGUUUUUUUAUAUAUCUCUUUGGAUAUUGUGGAUUUUUAUUUGACCUUUUUUGGAGAAUGUAAAAUGAAGAUUUGAAAAAAACAUCUGAUGAAAAGCAUCAACUAUUUUUCCAUUUAUGUAAGAUAUAUUGUCCUUGUAAUCGACUUUCCCUUUUGUCACAAUUUGUAAACCUGUCCAUAAUGGAAUAUUUUAGCUGAUAGCCUUCUGCAUUUUAUAAUUAGUCUGUAUUAUUAGAACUAUCUACAUGUACCUAUUCCUGUUGAAUAUUAAAUUAAAUCAUUAGCAUAUUUGUAUCUUUGAAUUCCAGUUUCAACUUCAGAUACUACAACUACAGGUAACAAAACCUUUCUUUUGAUGUACAUGUUUGAUACAGUUUCUCAGAAUGCAGAAAUUAAUAACCAAUGAUCACAUUCACCUACAAGGUGCAGUGCAAGUGACAAC